rnacentral:rRNA from 1 species
GAUGAACGCUGGCGGCAUGCCUAACACAUGCAAGUCGAUCGGUAAGGCUCUUCGGAGUACACGAGAGGCGGACGGCUGAGUAACGCGUAGGAACACACCCUGCAGUGAGGGAUAAGACACCGAAAGGUGUUCUAAUACCGCAUACGGUCUUCGGAUUAAAGCAUUUAUGCGCUGAAGGAGUGGCCUGCGUCAUAUUAGAUAGUUGGUGAGGUAAUGGCUCACCAAGUCGAUGAUGUGUAGCUGGUCUGAGAGGAUGAUCAGCCAGACUGGAACUGAGACACGGUCCAGACUCCUACGGGAGGCAGCAGUGAGGAAUAUUUCACAAUGAGCGGAAGCUUGAUGGAGCAAUGCCGCGUGCAGGAUGAAGGCCCUCGGGUUGUAAACUGCUUUUAUAAGAGAAGAUUAUGACGGUAACUUAUGAAUAAGGGACGGCUAACUACGUG